CAUUAUUCCUUUUUCUCUGUUCACUGGUGACUAUCGACGAUCCUUUUCAUGCUUUGUGGACGCCGUCUUCUCCACAUUUCCAAGUUUUGCCGGCGGCACCCACGGGAUGGCAAUCACAUGCUGUGAGGACACAGAAAAGAAAGAGAGAGACCACAGCAAACGUUACCGAGCUUGCACAUCCAUUAGAAGAAGAUGCCCUGUCGUUUCCUUUUACCUGGACACAAACACUUCUACCUUUGGCCAUUCUUAGGCAGUAAUUUCCAGGAGUUAUCGCACCCUCUGAGAAGCCUC